ACACGACUACAUUAGAUACCCUGUAGUCCUAGCCGUAAACGAUACUCGCUAGGUGUCGGCCACGGUGCGACCGUUGUCGGUGCCGUAGGGAAGCCGUGAAGCGAGCCACCUGGGAAGUACGGCCGCAAGGCUGAAACUUAAAGGAAUUGGCGGGGAGCACCACAACGCGUGGAGCCUGCGGUUUAAUUGGAUUCAACGCCGGACAUCCCACCAGGGGCGACAGCAGAAUGAUGGCCAGGUUGAUGACCUUGCUUGACAAGCUG
rnacentral:rRNA from 1 species